AGUGGGGAAUAUUGCGCAAUGGGGGAAACCCUGACGCAGCGACGCCGCGUGUAGGAAGAAGGCCUUCGGGUCGUAAACUACUGUCAAGAGGGAAGAAACCGUAGAGCAUUAAUACGGCUCUGCGCUGACGGUACCUCUAGAGGAAGCACCGGCUAACUCCGUGCCAGCAGCCGCGGUAAUACGGAGGGUGCGAGCGUUAAUCGGAAUCACUGGGCGUAAAGCGUGCGUAGGCGGCGUACCAAGUCAGGCGUGAAAGCCCUCGGCUCAACCGGGGAAUUGCGCUUGAAACUGGUACGCUAGAGUCUCGGAGAGGUUGGCGGAAUUCCAGGUGUAGGAGUGAAAUCCGUAGAUAUCUGGAGGAACACCGGUGGCGAAGGCGGCCAACUGGACGAGUACUGACGCUGAGGUACGAAAGCGUGGGUAGCAAACAGGAUUAGAUACCCUGGUAGUCCACGCUGUAAACGAUGGAUAUUAGGUGUCGGGGUUUUACUUCGGUGCCGCAGUUAACGCGUUAAAUAUCCCGCCUGGGGAGUACGGUCGCAGGGCUG
rnacentral:rRNA from 1 species